rnacentral:rRNA from 1 species
GACGAACGCUGGCGGCGUGCUUAACACAUGCAAGUCGAACGGAAAGGCCCUGCUUGCAGGGUACUCGAGUGGCGAACGGGUGAGUAACACGUGGGUGAUCUGCCCUGCACUUCGGGAUAAGCCUGGGAAACUGGGUCUAAUACCGGAUAGGAGCCAUUUUUAGUGUGAUGGUUGGAAAGUUUUUUCGGUGUAGGAUGAGCUCGCGGCCUAUCAGCUUGUUGGUGGGGUAAUGGCCUACCAAGGCGGCGACGGGUAGCCGGCCUGAGAGGGUGGACGGCCACAUUGGGACUGAGAUACGGCCCAGACGCCUACGGGAGGCAGCAGUGGGGAAUAUUGCACAAUGGGCGCAAGCCUGAUGCAGCGACGCCGCGUGGGGGAUGACGGCCUUCGGGUUGUAAACUCCUUUCGCUAGGGACGAAGCUUUUGUGACGGUACCUAGAUAAGAAGCCCCGGCUAACUACGUG